CCGGGCUUCACCACGCCCAGGCCGGGCUCGAUCAGCUGCACCUGGGAGAGAACAUAGGGGGGCGCGGAGACCAGGGAAAGGAAAAGCAACAGAGAUUUCACUGUCGUUUUCAUGCAAUGAGGGAAACUCCCCAGCUGCCGGGACCAGGCAGUUCUGUGUCUGGGGAGAUCCUGAGGCUCCUAGAACCAGGGGUUGAUAUUUAACCAGGAACACCCCAGGGCAGGGAUUUGCAUGCGGGUUCCCUAGGGUGGGUAUAAG